AAUCAACUAUGAAAUCUUUCAAUGUAUAAUUGGUGAAAUUUUAUGUGAUGAAGCAAAAAAAAAUAAGUUCAGAUUACUGAAGUGGAAGGCAAAUCAACUUUAAAAGUUCUGGGUUGCUAUGAGCCCCUCCUUCCAAAUAACAAAUUAAAAUGAGCAAAUUAGAUUCUGGAGUGGGACAAAAUGCAGUGCAAUCCUGCACUAAACAUGUAAGCUACUCUCUAUUCUCAGCAGAUAGCACUUAAUCAACAAAUGGGGAUGCCAACUCCCCUUUGACAGGCAUUAAACCAAUACAAAUACAGUUUAGGUAACAACUGACUGAUAAAUUAAAUGUUGUUAUCUGGUGAUCAUUUGUCUCCCUGCUUAAUGCCGCCAUGGGCAACUGGACCAUUUCAAAAACUACCACUGGUUACAACUGCAAGUCUUUUUAGUUUUAUGUCCCCAUUUCUGAAGACAACAUUUUUUGCAAGUAAUAAUAGUUCAAGCUCAGUCAGAUUGGACUAGAUGCUUCAUCACAUUAACAUCAAAACAUGCAGGGCUCACUUAAACAUAUUUUCCUCUCUUUCUCUUAGCACGAAGAAACGAUGAGACCAGUUUUUAAAUGAAAACACAUUUUUAUCCAUGCCCUUGGUGAUAUAACAAAAUCUGGCAGGGGAGCCGGAAACUCCAUCCAAGAGCAAAAACAACAAGGACCCAGUGAAGGAAAGGAUUGGUGGACAGUUUCACAAGUGGAGAAGUCGUCGCAGCAAUCAUGCCUGAAAACUGUUUGGACCUGGGCAGCAGGCUGAAGAACUCGUACAAAGAGAGCUUACAGAGUGGGUGAUUUAUACCCACUGACUGCCCCCAGCUGUUUCAUUUGCCGGAGCCAAGACUAAGCAUGCAUGGCUGAAAUGGCCCAUAGAACUUAUUUAAACAUCCACGAAAUGCCAACUGAUGGGAUUUUCUGCAAAAAUGACAGAUAACGACAUCCUUAAACAUGCUUCUUACCAACACAGAUUUGCACAGUAAAUACCUUGAUUGGAAUUGGAUAAUCUGGAAGUUGGCAUUUAAAGGGAUAUUUCAGGAUUUUUCAAGUGAGGUCUUGUAAAAGGUUCCAAAUAGUUUAGAGAACUUAUAUUAGAUGGGUAAUUAUUCAAGUUAUAGAUUCAGACAGUUGCUCCUUGACAGACAUGCUGCUUGUCAACUUUAGUUUUAGAGUAAUAUUACGAUAAUAAAAGUGAUGGGUGAUGCUACUUUAUUUUCCACACCCUAAAUAUUUGUGUUUUUCAUCACCAGAACUCUUUUCCAAGAGCCACAUUUGUCUUUUUGUAAGCUAGAGAAAAGUGUAGUAGUUUUUUGGGUU